UCGGACGUGGUGUAUGGUGCACGCCCGCGCUCUCUACAGCUCGUACAUGUGAGUGCAGGAGUAAUGCGGCAGGCCUGGGUUCGACUCCCAGCGUCCGAA